rnacentral:rRNA from 1 species
CAUGCAAGCCGAACGCACCGCAAGGUGAGUGGCAGACGGGUGAGUAACGCGUGGGAACCUACCCUUUACUACGGAAUAACUGAGGGAAACUUCAGCUAAUACCGUAUACGCCCUACGGGGGAAAGAUUUAUCGGUAAAGGAUGGGCCCGCGUUGGAUUAGCUAGUUGGUGGGGUAAUGGCCUACCAAGGCGACGAUCCAUAGCUGGUCUGAGAGGAUGAUCAGCCACACUGGGACUGAGACACGGCCCAGACUCCUACGGGAGGCAGCAGUGGGGAAUAUUGGACAAUGGGGGAAACCCUGAUCCAGCCAUGCCGCGUGAGUGAUGAAGGCCUUAGGGUUGUAAAGCUCUUUCAGUGGGGAAGAUAAUGACGGUACCCACAGAAGAAGCCCCGGCUAACUUCGUGCCAGCAGCCGCGGUAAUACGAAGGGGGCUAGCGUUGUUCGGAUUUACUGGGCGUAAAGCGCACGUAGGCGGAUUGUUAAGUCAGAGGUGAAAUCCUGGAGCUCAACUCCAGAACUGCCUUUGAUACUGGCAAUCUCGAGUCCGAGAGAGGUGAGUGGAACUCCUAGUGUAGAGGUGGAAUUCGUAGAUAUUAGGAAGAACACCAGUGGCGAAGGCGGCUCACUGGCUCGGUACUGACGCUGA